UAGGCCUCANACUCUUGAGCCGGCUCGGUCUGUGACAAGGCUUAACACAUGCAAGUCGAGCGGGGAAGGGUAGCUUGCUACCUAACCUAGCGGCAGGACGGGUGAGUAAAACUAGCUUUUAGUGAAAUUACCUUGCACAUAUUUUACAGCUAUGAGAGUGUGAACAAACAUUCACAGAAAAAAAGAGAAAAAUUGCUAAUAACCCGACAUAUACACG
rnacentral:rRNA from 1 species